UACAGAGGUCUCAAGCGUUGUUCGGAUUCAUUGGGCGUAAAGGGUGCGUAGGUGGCGCGGUAAGUCGGGUGUGAAAUCUCGGGGCUUAACUCCGAAACUGCAUUCGAUACUGCCGUGCUUGAGGACUGGAGAGGAGACUGGAAUUUACGGUGUAGCGGUGAAAUGCGUAGAUAUCGUAAGGAAGACCAGUGGCGAAGGCGGGUCUCUGGACAGUUCCUGACGCUGAGGCACGAAGGCCGGGGGAGCAAACGGG
rnacentral:rRNA from 1 species